rnacentral:rRNA from 1 species
UACGGAGGGUGCAAGCGUUGUCCGGAUUUAUUGGGUUUAAAGGGUGCGUAGGCGGCCAAUUAAGUCAGUGGUGAAAGUUUCCGGCUCAACCGGGAGACUGCCAUUGAUACUGGUUGGCUUGAGUUAUGGAGGGGUACAUGGAAUUUACGGUGUAGCGGUGAAAUGCAUAGAUACCGUAAGGAACACCGAUAGCGAAGGCA